rnacentral:rRNA from 1 species
AUUGAACGCUGGCGGCAGGCCUAACACAUGCAAGUCGAGCGGAUGAGGAAAGCUUGCUUUUCGAUUCAGCGGCGGACGGGUGAGUAAUGCCUAGGAAUCUGCCUGUUAGUGGGGGAUAACUCGGGGAAACUCGGGCUAAUACCGCAUACGUCCUACGGGAGAAAGUGGGGGAUCUUCGGACCUCACGCUAACAGAUGAGCCUAGGUCGGAUUAGCUAGUAGGUGAGGUAAUGGCUCACCUAGGCGACGAUCCGUAACUGGUCUGAGAGGAUGAUCAGUCACACUGGAACUGAGACACGGUCCAGACUCCUACGGGAGGCAGCAGUGGGGAAUAUUGGACAAUGGGCGAAAGCCUGAUUCAGCCAUGCCGCGUGUGUGAAGAAGGUCUUCGGAUUGUAAAGCACUUUAAGUUGGGAGGAAGGGUAUUCACCUAAUACGUGGGUACUUUGACGUUACCAACAGAAUAAGCACCGGCUAACUCUGUGCCAGCAGCCGCAGUAACAC